CCAGUAGACCGGGUGAUCGCCGGUCCGCCUUAGGCGGACGGGAGGAAGGUCCGAGCUCCACCGGGCAGCGCGCUGGGUAACGCCCAGGCGGGGUGACCCGACGGAAAGUGGCACAGAAACAUACCGCCCGCCUCAGGCGGGUAAGGGUGAAAUGGUGGGGUAAGAGCCCACCGGCUCCGGCGCGAGUCGGAGGCCGGCCAAACCCCGCGCGGAGCAAGGCCAAAUAGGAGGGCUUCCCCGCCCCGGGCGGGGAGAAGGGUGCCCGGCCCCGAUGCUCUCGGGUUGGCCGCUGGACCCCGUCGGCGACGGCGGGGCUAGAUUGAUGGUCACCGGUCGCCUCUGGCGACUACAGAACUCGGCCUACAGGUCUGCUGGGCCG
rnacentral:RNase_P_RNA from 1 species